rnacentral:rRNA from 1 species
CACGUAGGGGGCAAGCGUUGUCCGGAUUUAUUGGGCGUAAAGAGCUCGUAGGCGGUUGGGUAAGUCGGGUGUGAAAGGCUGGGGCUCAACCCCAUGCAGUGCUCCCCAUACUGGCAGUCUUGAGGGCGGUAGGGAGAAGUGGAAUGGCUGGUGUAGCGGUGAAAUGCGUAGAUAUCAGUCGGAACACCGGUGGCGAAGGCGGCUUCUUGGGCCGUUCCUGACGCUGAGGCGCGAAAGCCAGGGGAGCGAACGGG